rnacentral:rRNA from 1 species
AGUGAACGCUGGCGGCAGGCCUAACACAUGCAAGUCGAACGGCAGCACAAGAGAGCUUGCUCUCUGGGUGGCGAGUGGCGGACGGGUGAGGAAUGCAUCGGAAUCUGCCCAUUUGUGGGGGAUAACCUCGGGAAACCGGGACUAAUACCGCAUACGACCUACGGGUGAAAGCGGGGGAUCUUCGGACCUUGCGCAGAUGGAUGAGCCGAUGCCGGAUUAGCUAGUUGGAGGGGUACAGGCCCACCAAGGCGACGAACCGUAGCUGGUCUGAGAGGAUGAUCAGCCACACUGGGACUGAGACACGGCCCAGACUCCUACGGGAGGCAGCAGUGGGGAAUAUUGGACAAUGGACGCAAGCCUGAUCCAGCCAUGCCGCGUGUGUGAAGAAGGCGUUCGGGUUGUAAAGCACUUUUGUUGGGAAAGAAAAGCAGCCGGUUAAUACCCGAUUGUCAUGACGGUACCCAAAGAAUAAGCACCGGCUAACUUCGUG